AUUGAACGCUGGCGGCAUGCUUUACACAUGCAAGUCGAACGGCAACAGGCUGCGAGGUGCUGACGAGUGGCGAACGGGGGAGUAAUGCAGCGGAACAUGUCGAGUCCUGGGGUUUAACUACGCGAAAGGGAAGCUAAUACAGCCUACUAUCGAUUGCUGCAAGCGGGGGACAGCAAGGGAUCGUCCGAUCUGGCCGGACGAUGUCAGAUUAGGUAGUUGUUGGUGGAAAGGGGCACCAAGGCAACGAUCUGUAGCUGGUCUGAGAGGAUGCUCAGCCACACUGGAACUGAGACACGGUCCAGACUCCUACGGGAGGCAGCAGUGGGGAAUUUUGGACAAUGGGCGCAAGCCUGAUCCAGCCAUGCCGCGUGCGGGAAGAAGGCCUUCGGGUUGUAAAAUGCUUUUGUUCGGAAAGAAAAGGAGCAGGUUAAUACCCGGGGGUAAUGACGGUACCGUAAGAAUAAGCACCGGCUAACUACGUG
rnacentral:rRNA from 1 species